AUUCUUGUACUCGAAACUCUCUCCCUCUCGCUUCGUUGAAUACCAUACCUAACUGAUGGCGCCCAAGGCAGCAGAGAAGAAACCGGCGGAGAAGAAACCAGCGGCGGCAGAGAAGGCACCGGCCGAGAAGAAGCCCCGAGCGGAGAAGAAGUUGCCGAAGGAAGGCUCUAUUGAUAAGAAAAGGAAGAAGGCCAAGAAGAGCGUAGAGACUUACAAGAUAUACAUUUUCAAGGUGUUGAAACAGGUUCAUCCUGAUAUUGGUAUCUCUAGCAAGGCUAUGGGGAUCAUGAACAGUUUCAUCAACGAUAUUUUUGAGAAGCUCGCUCAAGAGGCUUCGAGGCUUGCUCGAUACAACAAGAAGCCCACCAUCACUUCCCGGGAGAUUCAGACUGCUGUUAGGUUGGUUCUUCCUGGAGAGCUUGCUAAACAUGCUGUUUCUGAAGGGACCAAGGCUGUUACUAAGUUCACUAGUUCUUAAAGUUUAGGUUUUCUUAUGGUUCUUUAGUGGGUGCUUUAGAGCUAUUUGAGUGGUGAUAUUAGGGAUCUAGGGUUUCUGGAUGUAAAUUGUGUUUCUGGGUU
rnacentral:misc_RNA from 1 species